rnacentral:rRNA from 1 species
UACGAAGGUCCCAAGCGUUAUCCGGAUUUAUUGGGUUUAAAGGGUGCGUAGGCGGGCUAUUAAGUCCGUGGUGAAAGCCCCAAGCUUAACUUGGGAACUGCCAUUGAUACUGAUGGUCUUGAGUACAUUUGAGGUGGGCGGAAUGUGUCAUGUAGCGGUGAAAUACUUAGAUAUGACACAGAACUCCGAUUGCGAAGGCAGCUCACUAAACUGUAACUGACGCUGAGGCACGAAAGCGUGGGGAUCAAACAGG